rnacentral:rRNA from 1 species
CAGCCGUAAACAAUGUGCGUUAGGUGUGUCGGUAACCACGCGUUACUGAUGCGCCGAAGAGAAAUCGUGAAACGCACCACCUGGGAAGUACGGUCGCAAGGCUGAAACUUAAAGGAAUUGGCCGGGGGAGCACCACAACAGGUGGAGCCUGCGGUUUAAUUGGAUUCAACGCCGGACAUCUCACCGGAUAAGACAGCUGAAUGAUUGUCAAUCUGAAGGUUUUACAUGACUAGCUGAGAGGAGGUGCAUGGCGUAGACGUCU